UACGUAGGGGGCAAGCGUUGUCCGGAUUUAUUGGGCGUAAAGAGCGUGUAGGCGGCUUGGAAGGUCAGCUGUGAAAACUCGAGGCUCAACCUCGAGACGUCGGUUGAAACCACCUGGCUAGAGUCCGGAAGAGGAGAGUGGAAUUCCCGGUGUAGUGGUGAAAUGCGUAGAUAUCGGGAGGAACACCAGUGGCGAAGGCGACUUCCUGGCCUGUUCUUGACGCUGAGGCGCGAAAGCUAGGGGAGCAAACGGG
rnacentral:rRNA from 1 species